rnacentral:lncRNA from 1 species
UCCCCCUUAGUUUCCAUUUAUUCAUAUUAGGUCCAAAUUGUUACCACUCUUCCCUCCCAAAAUGAUUCUUUCAAGUCCAUUAAGCCACUCCUAUCUAAGAUACUCCGAUGUCUCAUUCUUUUGCUUAAUUAUUUUCACACUCCAAUUUCUAAGUUUAGGAUUAUUUUAUUUGUAGCUUGUGUUCCUUUUUCUUUGUGAGUAUCUCGUGGCUUUUAGAGUUCGGCUAGGAAGAAGAGCUCCUAAAUAAAGGUAAUUCCCCAUACUUAUCAUAAUUGUUGUUAAAGAGAAAUGGAAGUAAAAUACAACCUUACGUGGUAAAAUUUAACCUUUUAUAAAAGUAUAGGAUACUUGUGUAUGAGGAUGUGACGUGGAAUGAUAUAUAUGAAGAAACCUUUGAUUGUACUAUGUCUUAUAUGUGUUGUGAUGUUUGAGAAAGAAAUGUUAGAUUUUUGAUGAAUCAAAGAAAGAAAGAAAAUAAUGAAAAUGCGAGUUUUAUGAAAAGAUUGGUUUUUGGGUCAUGUGCAUGAUGAAUAUUAAUAUUUGAUUGUGUUUGCCUAAGUGGUGGGAUUGCAUCCAUCGUCAUGCAUGUCAAAUGCAUUUUUGUGUGCGUAGUGGCGGUUAAAAAAAUUAUGUUUGUCAGUGUGGCGAUUAAAUAAUUAUGUUUGCCUGUAUGACGGUUGAAUAAUUAUGUUUGCCUAAGUGGCGUUUAAAUAUUUUUUGUGCCUUAAUGGUGGGUUAUAUCCUGAUCAUUUAGUUUUAGGAGCAUGCAUAACAUUGCAUAAGAACUAAAAUAAAAAUAAUGAUGACUUUUGAGUAACUCUUUUCUUGUUGGCAGCUUUUAUUUUAUAAUAUUGUACCGAAUGCUGGGUUGAUUUGUAUGGUUUGUGGCUUAUGGAAGCUGAUCCCUUACACCAAUAUUUUAAGUAUUAAAGAAGAGAUGAUGUAUUCUUUGGUGUUCUUGCUUGAAGCGCGUACGAGGAUGAUAUUGGAUUUUUGAUUAAAUU